rnacentral:rRNA from 1 species
GUAGGUGGGUUUGUAAGUCAGUUGUGAAAGCCUCCCGCUUAACGGAAGAACGGCAUCUGAUACUACAGGGCUUGAGUACGGGAGGGGAGAGUGGAACUUCUGGUGGAGCGGUGAAAUGCGUAGAUAUCAGAAGGAACGCCGGCGGCGAAAGCGACUCUCUGGUCCGAAACUGACGCUGAGUGUGCGAAAGCUAGGGGAGCAAACGGGGUUAGAUACCCCGGUAGUCCUAGCCGUAAACGAUGGGCACUAAGUAGAGGGGU